rnacentral:rRNA from 1 species
ACUACGGUGAGCUGCAGUGAGGAAUAUUGGUCAAUGGACGGAAGUCUGAACCAGCCAUGCCGCGUGCAGGAAGACGGCUCUAUGAGUUGUAAACUGCUUUUGUACAAGGGUAAACCUGAAUACGUGUAUUCAGCUGAAAGUACUGUACGAAUAAGGAUCGGCUAACUCCGGGCCAGCAGCCGCGGUACUACGGAGGCUCCAAGCGUUAUCCGGAUUUAAUGGGUUUAAAGGGUGCGUAGGCGGAUUGAUAAGUUAGAGGUGAAAUGUCCGAGCUUAACUCGGGAACUGCCUCUAAUACUGUUGAUCUAGAGAGUAGAUGCGGUAUGCGGAAUGUAUGGUGUAGCGGUGAAAUGCUUAGAGAUCAUACAGAACACCGAUUGCGAAGGCAGCUUACCAAUCUAUAUCUGACGUUGAGGCACGAAAGCGUGGGGAGCAAACAGGAUUAGAUACCCGUGUAGUC